rnacentral:tRNA from 1 species
GCCUGGCUGGCUCAGUUGGUAGAGCAUGAGAUUCUUGAUCUUAGAAUUUUAAGUUCGAGCCCCAUGUUGGGUA